GACGAACGCUGGCGGCGUGCUUAACACAUGCAAGUCGAACGAUGAAGAAAAGAAUUGAAGCUUCGGCAGAAAUUCAUUUCGGAUUAGUGGCAGACGGGUGAGUAACGCGUGAGCAACCUACCUCUUACAAAGGGAUAGCCUCGGGAAACCGGGAUUAAUACCAUAUAACAUUGCGACGAAGCAUUUCGAUGCAAUCAAAGCUACGGCGGUAAGAGAUGGGCUCGCGUCCCAUUAACCAGAUGGUGAGGUAACGGCUCACCAUAGUAACGAUGGGUAACCGGCCUGAGAGGGUGAACGGUCACACUGGAACUGAGACACGGUCCAGACUCCUACGGGAGGCAGCAGUGGGGAAUAUUGCACAAUGGAGGGAACUCUGAUGCAGCGACGCCGCGUGAGUGAUGAAGGAAUUCGUUUCGUAAAACUCUGUUCUAGGGGAAGAAAAGGACUGUACCAUAGGAGAAAGCUCCGGCUAAAUACGUG
rnacentral:rRNA from 1 species